CUGUAGGAUUGCUAAUUUGCCAUUUCCGGUCCGGUGCUGUCCUGUCGUCUGUCUGUGUGUGUGUGUGUGUGUGUGUGUGUGUGCGUAGAAAACUGUUAGCAUUUCAUAGUAGCAGAUCGAGUUACUUGUUGCGGUUCUGUCUGGUAGUAGUAUGCCAAACUUGUUUCAUGAGUGAUAACGAGCAUAACGAUUAAGUCGUUCCCGAAGCUUACUUGGUAGCUUGGCCUCUUGCACAAUAACAGCGUCAAAUGGCAACCGAGAUACGGAAAGUUUUAGGAGCGGGACUUGCUGACCCAGUGGUACUUAUCCACGCGGGGCCCGGUGAAGGUGAACAAGGUCCGGUCGGAAUAGAAACCUUUGGAGCCCGCCAGCUGCUGCGGUGAGAGAGGAGGAAGUGGGACGAGAGGCGGGAAGGCGUCCCCGCCCAACGGCUUCCUCCUAGGGUAGGUGAGCCACGUCCGGGGGGCGCCGGGAGCAAACUCGCUGAACUGAGAGAGGAAGAAGUAGGCAAAAAGACCCAAAUUCAUAUUCCAGGAUUUCUUCCAGGCUGGAAAGUCCCAAGACGCUAUUGGGGUUGUUAACAGUCGGGAUGCUUUUGGCUUCGGCAAAGAGAGCAGAGGGGCUGCGGCGGCGCUCUUCUUCUUCCUCCUCCUCCUCCUCCUCCUCCUCCCCGCCGCCACCAUUACCGUCCUCAUCCGAAGAACUCUCCGAGGGCACUUCCAGGCUGGCGCGUUCCACCGCGUCGUGGACUCGCCGGGAAAACUGGCCACGGGCGUGUCGACUGCCGUCCACAACCGAGAUGGAGAAGGGGGCGCUGUGUUCGCCGUACCUGCCACAGAUGUCUCAGGUUAAAAGCAGGUCACAAACAAACAAUUUCAGGCAGAGCUUAGUCAAUCAAUUAUCAAGCCAUCAGUCAUCACAAACCUCAGGCUCGGUGGAUGCGCAACGGCCUACCUGCACGACACCUCGCCGGGGUCGACCCACACGGUGAGCUCCCGAGGUAGGCCCAGGUCCUCGUAGCGCACGCCGCUUCUCGCGCACACCUUCUGAAGCACUGGAUCCUGUCGUUGUAACCAGUUCAUCCGCAGGCACCUGCAAAACAAACAGGCUUGAGACAAAUCCCUUUGAAAUGACAUCUCCAAGCCUACCUGUAGGCCUGGCCCUUGGCGGGCACGUCCGGGUGCCAGUGGUUCUUGUAGCUCUCAAACAAGGCCGACGUGAGCGCGGCGGCAAAGCGCUCGCGGCCGUCCUCGUCCAGGCAUCCGUAGCGCUUGACCAGGCGGCCCACGAAGAACACGGUGGCGGCAAUUUCCUCCUUCAUAGCGUCGAGCGUGGUUGCAAAUCAAAGCACCUGAAAGGACAAGACUGACUCUCGGCUAAAACCAGAUAAAAACGUGUAGGGUGCUCCUACUAGUCAAGUAAAAGUCAAGGAGAAACGGCAAGCAAACAUAUUUGCUGUUGGAGCUCCGCACAAACGGCAACUUUCUUGCCCCGAGUUAAGAAGUCAACUGCUGUCCACAGCGGGGACACCUGUUGACGCCUCGCUUAAUUGGAGGAGGCGGAGAAAAUCAUCCCAUUGGUUCAGAGCAAAUGGAACAUUUCCAAUUCGACAAUACCAAUGACAAAGAAAAAAUAUAUACCACUGAAUCCUUUUAAUUAUUAUUUGGAGUGUACAGUACGUGUACAUAGAUUGAAGCCAUUAAAUGACUCACAACAGAUGAGAAACAACAAACCCCCAUUCAAAAC